ACAAACACCAGCUGGAAAAGGCAGCAACGUGGGGUCUCCCUCCCCCUCAGCCAAAGUGAACUGUGUCAGCAGGUGUCUCCCAGCUGCUGAGAAUGAGCCAAGGGACCAAGAUGGCCGCCUGGCUCCUGCAAGUGGAGAGGGUCUUGCUGGGGCCUGAACUGGCUGAGGUCUUGCAGCAGGAAGGGGACGCUGGACACUUAGCCCCCUACAGGGAGCCCAGAGCCAGGCCUGGGUGAAGGUGCCUUUGGGAGGAGGUGGAGGAGUGUAACGAUUGGGACCCAGCUGGACAGGUCCCUGUGAGCCGGCCUGGGUCCUUGGUGGGUGGGACAUGUCUACAAAUAGCUCAUCACGUCUCCAAUCCAGAAGUGCUGUGUCGUUUCAAAAAUGAGCGGAGCCAACGCAGCCACCAGCCAGGCCUCGGCUACCUGGGCAAGGCUGCCGGCUCAUGAAUAUUCACGGCUCCGAUGGUGUCUCUGAGCCUCCUAACCAUCUGGAAUUAAACCAACGAGCUUC
ensembl:lncRNA novel transcript, antisense to CHRNA4